GCCGUUCAGGCUGGGGUGCUUCUCCUGCAUCUCCGACUGGCUGUCGCUGGCCACGUCCAGCGUGGGGUUGUCGUGGCAGCCGUUCUCCACGAAGCGCAGCUCCUCGCCGUGCGACUCACUCACCACGUGCUUGAGCUUGGGCAGCCGGCGCUGCCAGCAGUUGUAGAGCAGGCCAAGCGCAAUGAUGAUGAUGCAGAUGGCCCCAAUGACCACCAGCACCACGAAGAGCGUGCCGUAGUCGCUGCGCACCUGGCUGGCCCGCGCCUGGCAGCUGCUGGUUGUGGAAUAGUUCUGGAUGCCAAUCUGGUCCCUGCACUCUUACCUCCUCCAGGCUCCUGCGGAUGUCACCCAGCAUGGAAAGGACAUCUUGAGUGGGCACCACCCCUGCGCUCACCCUGCUCGCCCACCAGUGUCAUGAGAAGGUGCUGCUCCUUCUCGCUGGGCUUGCUCAGAGAGAUGUGCCAGGCCCCAUGGUGGCCACUGCCAUGGCGGGGCAGCACCUCUUCCACCAGGGCCAGGAGCUGUGGCCCCCGGUGCUGCC
rnacentral:lncRNA from 1 species